CGUAUAAGUACGAGGCGAGAGCCCCCGCCGCCAACAAUCUACGGAGAUCGGGUUCGUCCACACACUCCCGCCGCCACCACCGCCGCGAACCGGAGAGCGAGGCCGACACCGCCGCCGCGAUGAGGGCCAAGUGGAAGAAGAAGAGGAUGAGGAGGCUCAAGAGGAAGCGCCGAAAGAUGAGGCAGCGAUCCAAGUAGGCGGUAAGCAUCAUCUUGCAUCCAGGCAGCGGAACUCUGAGGGGUGAUGGCAUUGUCUAGUGAUUCUUGAUUUGUUCUGUUGUUUUGGCUGUGGAAGUUGCUUUUACCUGUGUUUGGUCAAAUUUAGUUGUUUAAUACUAGUCUGGCUAUGUUCCAGGACUGAGUUUUAUGUAAUGUGAGGAUUAUAUGUGUUUGUGACCUAAUUUUAUGCACCUAUUAUCCUUGAGGUACUCUGAAAUGUGCCUUUUGGCCCUGCAUUUGUUGUGUCAGUUAUUUUAUCUUUUUGCGGUGUGACAGGUCCUUUUCUUUGCUCCGAGAUGAACAAAUACCAGGAACAUUGCAGAUAUUUGCAGUGGAAGAACAAGAGAAUGACGAGGCUCAAGAGGAAGUGCCAAAAGAUGAGGCAACGAUCAAAGUAGGUGAGCAAUUGCGAAGGUUUGAUUAAGUCUUGGUCAAUUCCUGAUGCCGCGUCCUCUUGAAUCCUGAUGGUGAUUCUGGUUGUGGCAAAUGUGGAUCUUAUGUAAUCACUCAUUAAAUAUCCUGAACUUUAAAUAUAUAAUUUGCCACUA